rnacentral:rRNA from 1 species
GACGAACGCUGGCGGCGUGCUUAACACAUGCAAGUCGAACGGUAAGGCCCUUCGGGGUACACGAGUGGCGAACGGGUGAGUAACACGUGGGUGAUCUGCCCUGCACUUUGGGAUAAGACUGGGAAACUGGGUCUAAUACCGGAUAGGACCAUGGCAUGCAUGUGCUGUGGUGGAAAGCUUUUGCGGCGUGGGAUGGGCUCGCGGCCGAUCAGCUUGUUGGUGGGGUGAUGGCCUACCAAGGCGACGACGGGUAGCCGGCUUGAGAGGGUGUCCGGCCACACUGGGACUGAGAUACGGCCCAGACUCCUACGGGAGGCAGCAGUGGGGAAUAUUGCACAAUGGGCGCAAGCCUGAUGCAGCGACGCCGCGUGGGGGAUGACGGCCUUCGGGUUGUAAACCUCUUUCAAUAGGGACGAAGCGCAAGUGACGGUACCUAUAGAAGAAGCACCGGCCAACUACGUGCCAGCCGCCGCCGUAA